GACGAACGCUGGCGGCGUGCCUAAUACAUGCAAGUAGAACGCUGAAGGAGGAGCUUGCUUCUCUGGAUGAGUUGCGAACGGGUGAGUAACGCGUAGGUAACCUGCCUGGUAGCGGGGGAUAACUAUUGGAAACGAUAGCUAAUACCGCAUAAGAUUGACUAUUGCAUGAUAGUCAGUUAAAAGGUGCAAUUGCAUCACUACCAGAUGGACCUGCGUUGUAUUAGCUAGUUGGUGGGGUAACGGCUCACCAAGGCGACGAUACAUAGCCGACCUGAGAGGGGGAUCGGCCACACUGGGACUGAGACACGGCCCAGACUCCUACGGGAGGCAGCAGUAGGGAAUCUUCGGCAAUGGACGGAAGUCUGACCGAGCAACGCCGCGUGAGUGAAGAAGGGUUUCGGAUCGUAAAGCUCUGUUGUAAGAGAAGAACGAGUGUGAGAGUGGAAAGUUCACACUGUGACGGUAUCUUACCAGAAAGGGACGGCUAACUACGUG
rnacentral:rRNA from 1 species